CGUACACUCCUGCGGGAGGCAGCAGUGGGGAAUAUUGCACAAUGGGCGCAAGCCUGAUGCAGCCAUGCCGCGUGUAUGAAGAAGGCCUUCGGGUUGUAAAGUACUUUCAGCGGGGAGGAAGGCGAUAAGGUUAAUAACCUUGUUGAUUGACGUUACCCGCAGAAGAAGCACCGGCUAACUCCGUGCCAGCAGCCGCGGUAAUACGGAGGGUGCAAGCGUUAAUCGGAAUUACUGGGCGUAAAGCGCACGCAGGCGGUCUGUCAAGUCGGAUGUGAAAUCCCCGGGCUCAACCUGGGAACUGCAUUCGAAACUGGCAGGCUAGAGUCUUGUAGAGGGGGGUAGAAUUCCAGGUGUAGCGGUGAAAUGCGUAGAGAUCUGGAGGAAUACCGGUGGCGAAGGCGGCCCCCUGGACAAAGACUGACGCUCAGGUGCGAAAGCGUGGGGAGCAAACAGGAGUAGAUACCCGUGUAGUCCCAUGA
rnacentral:rRNA from 1 species